UUAAGUUCAGCGGGUAUUCCUACCUGAUCCGAGGUCAACCUUGAGAAGUAGGGGGUUUUACGGCGUGGCCGCACCGCUAUCCCGCUGCGAGCUCAGUACUGCACAGGGGAGGUCACGGUGAGACCGCCACUAUAUUUCAGGGCCGGCAGCCGCCAGGGCAGCCGAUCCCCAACGCCAGCGCCCUCCGACCAGUGCCGGAG
rnacentral:misc_RNA from 1 species